rnacentral:rRNA from 1 species
GAUGAACGCUGGCGGCGUGCUUAACACAUGCAAGUCGAACGGAAAGGCCCAAGCUUGCUUGGGUGCUCGAGUGGCGAACGGGUGAGUAACACGUGGGUGAUCUGCCCUGCACUUUGGGAUAAGCCUGGGAAACUGGGUCUAAUACCGGAUAGGACCAUCGUUUAGUGUCGGUGGUGGAAAGUUUUUCGGUGUGGGAUGAGCUCGCGGCCUAUCAGCUUGUUGGUGGGGUAAUGGCCUACCAAGGCGUCGACGGGUAGCCGGCCUGAGAGGGUGUACGGCCACAUUGGGACUGAGAUACGGCCCAGACUCCUACGGGAGGCAGCAGUAGGGAAUAUUGCACAAUGGGCGCAAGCCUGAUGCAGCGACGCCGCGUGGGGGAUGACGGCCUUCGGGUUGUAAACUCCUUUCGCCAAGGACGAAGCGUUUUGUGACGGUACUUGGAGAAGAAGCACCGGCUAACUACGUG